rnacentral:rRNA from 1 species
UACGUAGGGCGCAAGCGUUGUCCGGAAUUAUUGGGCGUAAAGGGCUCGUAGGCGGUUUGUCGCGUCUGCCGUGAAAGUCCGGGGCUCAACUCCGGAUCUGCGGUGGGUACGGGCAGACUAGAGUGAUGUAGGGGAGACUGGAAUUCCUGGUGUAGCGGUGAAAUGCGCAGAUAUCAGGAGGAACACCGGUGGCGAAGGCGGCGUUCUGGACUGCAACUGACACUGAGGAACGAAAGCCAGGGGAGCAAACGGG